GGACGAUUAACUCAAUUGGAAGAGUGCAUCCUUGACGUGGAUGAAGUUAGGGGUUCGAGUCCCUUAUCGUCCA
rnacentral:tRNA from 1 species